rnacentral:rRNA from 1 species
UGCAGAAUCCCGUGAACCAUCGAGUCUUUGAACGCAAGUUGCGCCCUAAGCCUUCUGGCCGAGGGCACGUCUGCCUGGGUGUCACAAAUCGUCGUCCCCCCAUCCUCUCGAGGAUAGUGGACGGAAGCUGGUCUCCCGUGUGUUACCGCACGCGGUUGGCCAAAAUCCGAGCUAAGGACGCAAGGAGCGUCCCGACAUGCGGUGGUGAAUUAAAACCUCGUCAUACCGUCGGCCGUUCCUGUCCUAAUGCUCUCGAUGACCCAAAGUCCUCAACGCGACCCCAGGUCAGGCGGGAUCACCCGCUGAGUUUAAGCAUAUCAAUAAGCGGAGGAAAAGAAACUAACAAGGAUUCCCUUAGUAACGGCGAGCGAACCGGGAAGAGCCCAGCUUGAAAAUCGGACGUCUUCGGCGUUCGA